CCCAGCCACAGAAAUGCACUUUGGGGGUGAGGAUGUCCUAGGACCUCUGCUUUCUGCACCCACUGUCCAUGCAGGAUGUGGCUGGGGAUGGUGAGGUUCUCUCCCAAGACUGCCCCAACUUAGCAGACAGCCUAGUUCCUCAGUAGAGAGGCUAUAUCAGGUGAUGGGCUGAGCAGACACACAGUGGGCUCAUGGCCAGAGCAAGACAUGGCAGCUGUGGGCAGCAUAAGGUCCUGGGCAGCUAACUGGGUACCACCGCCUCCCACGUGCUUCUUCCUGAGCAGGCCAGUUGACCAGGAGCAAGACCAAGGCCUGGAGCCUCCACCACAGAGGACAUCCCAGCUACUGGUUACCUUCUCACUCUGACACCCACUAUCCCAUGCCCUUGCUACUGUGCCAGCCUGGAGCUCUUCGCUGCAGCCAACCAGACUCCCCACAUGGCCACUGGAUGCCACCUUCACUGCCCUGCAGCUGGACCCCAGUUACUUCUGCAGGAUGAAGAUGCUCACUGCUGGACACUGCCUGUUUUUGCUGCCCCUGCUUCUGAACUCUUGUGGUGCCACCACCAUUGUGCAGCACUCAAACUUCCAAACUCCAGAUGGACUCCAACACUGCCCACCAAGGCCCGAAUGUCAUUGCACUUUAUCCCACACCUGGUGCCCGACCCCUAUACUGAGGCUAGACCCCUGAUGCAGCUGCAUGUUGCUCCCGCCCCUGCCAGAAUCUGGAGCUCCACCCAGCUGCCACCAGACUUUAACAUGGAUACUAGACAGUGACACUCAGUACUGGGGCCAACUUCAUUGCAACUGCAGCCAGACCCUUGUCACUAUGGCAGAUGAAAACACUCAUGGCUGGAUGCAUCUGUUGUUACAACCACUGUUUCUGGAUUCUUCCACUGUCACCGCCGCCAUGAGUAGGAAGCAAGGAACUCCCAAAUCACAGCUGCAUGCCGACAACACCACAGUCACCCCCACCCCACGCCAAUUCUCAACACCUGACUUUUGAUGCCUGAUGCCCUAUGCCCAAAACAGCUGGAUGCUGCUCUUGCCACCAUAUGCCACCAUUUCAUGAUGGUGCCAUUGCAGUGAAUUGACCCCAAGGAUGCUUCUCUGCUCAAGAUGUAUAAGAGCUGGGAAACUCAUCAUUCUCCAUUACAGUCACCUCACCAAGUUCUACUGCAUGCCGCCUGCCUUUUGUCACCCCAGGACCGGCCACCAGUCCUCAGGACCCUUGAGGAGUUGUGGCUCUAACUCAGGG
rnacentral:lncRNA from 1 species